UCCUGACGUUUUACCAGUGGACUAUUGUGUCCUUGGUCUCUUGAAAAGAGCUCUUUCUAAGUGCAAACCGAGCACGAUGGAUAGACUCUGGAAAAUAGUGGAAGAAGAAUGUAAAUCACUAUCCCUGGAAAUUUUACGAAAAGACCUUUUAUCAUGGAAAUAACGAUGCUGACUUAUAGUCUAGAGCUGUCAGACUGAACAUUUAAAAAAUACUCUAUAUUUUAAAUAUUAAUUAAACGGCGCCGAAAACGUUCUAAAAGUAUGUAAAUACCCAUCUGUAAAGCGUAAAAAAUCAAAAUUCAAGUUCAUUAUCAAUGCGCAUAAAAAGAUCGUUUAAUGCUUUAUGAAUUAGUAUAUCUAUGUAAUUUUAAAAAGUAAGAUUACUAAACUGAGUAGCAAGUAAAAUUACUUUUAUAAUUUGUUUAGUUUUUAACAUCACUCAUGAUUUUGCUAUUUUUUUUCGGCUUGUUAAGACGAAAGGAGAAAGUGUGUGUAUGAGGUAUAAAAAGUUUUCUGCAAGUGGGGUUAUUUUAAAAAUAGAAACUGGCACAUUCUACUCGACGUUCUUACUGUGAAAACUGACAACUUCUCAGACAUCGUGAGCAAGCAGACAUUGUAGACGAAUGUUUGGUGCCCUCAUUAAGAGUUAGUUAUGCUGAUGUAUAGGUGGCCAAGUUCAGUUAUUUUUGAUACGUGACAAUAUUUGGUGAGAGUGUGCAAAAAAAAAAAAAAAAAAAAAAAAAAAAAAAACACUUUGUUUUUGAUAAUAAAAUUAAGUAACAAAUAGUUUCUUAAUGUGUACAGCUACAUGUCAGUCUGUUAAGCCUUUGCGACUGAAAAAUUUAUUGGCAUUUAGGAUGUAAGAUAUGGAAAACUUGAUUAGUAGUUAUAAUGUUGAAUUGUGAGCACCAGGCUUUGUUGUCAGAAUAUGUUUGGACAUCCUGCCCAACCACAAUCUUAGGGGGAAGGUGUAGUGCCUGGUCCUCCGAAACUGUAACCCUGAAAAUAAGUAGCGCCCUCUAGGCGGAAAAACGAAAGAUGACAAAAUUAGAAACAGACGAAGAUCCUGAUUUGGAGGCAUUGCCUGUGGGAAAUGAUACUCACAUCAAAAUUCGCACGUCACGACCGCACAAUAGAACUACAAACUGUAGAUGUUUAAAUUUUAUUCCAAAGAGAUUUAUAUUUUCAUUCAUUGGCUUCUUGGCUUCUACGCUAGCAAUUUCUCUCAAUACCAAUCUCAGUCUGGCUAUUGUAUCUAUGGUGGACAGAAGCAAUGAGUCUAUCAUUCAUGUCAAGUCAUCUAACGAAUGUCUUUCACAGGAAAUUGAAACAUUGCAACUUAAAUCGGAAGUAA
rnacentral:lncRNA from 1 species